CAUGCAGGUUAUCUGUACCUCACCUUGGUGUUGGGCUUCCAGUCCCUGUUGGUGACCCACGAUGUAUGCUACUUCAACUAUAGGUGGUGGGCAAAAACAAAGGGUGAAGUAGUACCCAUUGAACCAACCUACAAACUCUAGUGAAAGUAUCACAAAACUAAAACCAAUACAUAAGGGAAUGGAAGCAAGCAAGGGCUAAAGAAGAGUAAACAAAUGGAAGAAGCGAACAGCAAUGGGUGAGUCUUCUAUUUUUAUAGCUUUUUUGCCUG
rnacentral:lncRNA from 1 species